UAAAGCGCACGCAGGCGGUCUGUCAAGUCGGAUGUGAAAUCCCCGGGCUCAACCUGGGAACUGCAUUCGAAACUGGCAGGCUUGAGUCUUGUAGAGGGGGGUAGAAUUCCAGGUGUAGCGGUGAAAUGCGUAGAGAUCUGGAGGAAUACCGGUGGCGAAGGCGGCCCCCUGGACAAAGACUGACGCUCAGGUGCGAAAGCGUGGGGAGCAAACAGGAUUAGAUACCCUGGUAGUCCACGCCGUAAACGAUGUCUACUUGGAGGUUGUGCCCUUGAGGCGUGGCUUCCGGAGCUAACGCGUUAAGUAGACCGCCUGGGGAGUACGGCCGCAAGGUUAAAACUCAAAUGAAUUGACGGGGGCCCGCACAAGCGGUGGAGCAUGUGGUUUAAUUCGAUGCAACGCGAAGAACCUUACCUGGUCUUGACAUCCACGGAAGUUUUCAGAGAUGAGAAUGUGCCUUCGGGAACCGUGAGACAGGUGCUGCAUGG
rnacentral:rRNA from 1 species